CAUCGCCUCCUGCAAACCUCAACGUAUAGGAGGUCUUGCCUGCCCAGUGAUAAAUUAAACGGCCGCGGUAUUUUGACCGUGCGAAGGUAGCGCAAUCACUUGUCUUUUAAAUGAAGACCUGUAUGAAUGGUGGAACGAGGGCUUAACUGUCUCCCCUUUCAAGUCAAUGAAAUUGAUCUGCCCGUGCAGAAGCGGACAUGAAAAUACAAGACGAGAAGACCCUUUGGAGCUUAAGAUACACGAUCAACUAUGUCAAGAACCCUAAAAACAGCGGUUAAACUAAAUAGCAACUGAUCCCCAUCUUCAGUUGGGGCGACCACGGGAGAAAAUGAAGCUCCCAUGAGGACUGGGGCUAAACCCUAAAACCAAGAGAGACAUCUCCAAGUCACAGAAUAUCUGACCAUAAAGAUCCGGCUUUAUGCCGACCAACGGACCAAGUUACCCUAGGGAUAAGAGCGCAAUCCCCUUUCAGAGUCCAUAUCGACAAGGGGGUUUACGACCUCGAUGUUGGAUCAGGACAUCCUAAUGGUGCAGCCGCUAUUAAGGGUUCGUUUGUUCAACGAUUAAAGUCCUA
rnacentral:rRNA from 1 species